rnacentral:sRNA from 1 species
AUUUUGCUUAAUCUUAUUUUAAGAGCGGGGGACCCAAAUUAUUCAUGCGGAGAUAUCCGCUAUUGGUGAAUUCUAUUAAAGAAGGGGCUCAGUGUUUCCCAUAGUCCUAACCUGAAAGCUAACCUCGUAAGCAAUUAAGUGG